AACUCCAAAGUACUUAUGGAACGCCAUCCUGGACAAAAUUCUUCAUCAAUAAUGUAAAUAUGGAAAGCUAAUCGAUGUAGCUAUUCAAGUGAUGGUAGCUACGAUUUUCUAA